CCUCUUUCUUGGAAUGCAAAGAGGAGUGUGAGCACCACUUCUGUGGCAGAGCUGACAUGACUGUGAACUUAGAUGUUUGAUGUGUGUUGGCUCUGCUGCACGCAGUAAUAAAUAGCUUGAUCACAGCAGAUUUUAUUUACAAAAUUCCACAACGCCCCCCCACCCUCCCACUGUGAACCUGAAUUGAAUAUUCAGAAGAAAAUGAAUGGAUAGACUGACAUUUGUUUAAAUACUUCUAGAAAUCUGAGCUGUUGGUGUGUCCUUGGAUUGUGUGAACAGUUCGCCACAGUCGCUGUCCACAUGGGUCAGUGGGACCAAGCAGCACUCUGCUAAUGUGUGGACUCUGACCAGCAACAUCCAGCAAGACCCAGGCAGCGUUUUCUAUCUCCCAGCUGGAGUUUUUUGUUUGUCUGUGACUGGAGAGUCAGAUUUUUGUUGAAGCUGGAGGAACAGAGAGGUUAAUACAUGCUACUGAUCCCUGAUGGGAGAAUCAUCACCUCUGCCAACAAAGAAGCCUGGUGGAUGUUUGUUUGCAGUCUGAUGAUGGGACAUCAUGCUCUGCAUCUUCAAAGUUUGUCUCUUGAUUAUUAUUCAUACACAGUAAUGUGAAUUAUGCUUAUAUCUAGUAUAACUGGACCAACCUGGUGCUCUUCAUUUAUGGAGGCUGUUGAGUCUGAAUGUUGGAUGUUGUGUAUCUCGUGUUCUCUGGGCUUUGUUGUCCUCAGUCUUUUUGCAGGAUCAGAAAACAAAACCAGGAUGACCAUAAAUGUUUCUUCUCCAAUUGGAUGAUGAUAAGACUGUGACACGGGAUGCCACCUUUAGUCUUGUGAUGAAGCAAAGCUCAGGAAGAAGUGUAAUUAAAUGGUACCCACACGUGUGCUGCUGAGAAGGAUGUACAGGGGCACCUGCAGCCAAAUCCAAGCCUCCUCAGCAACUUCAGGUCUGUCAGCGUGCUGAGGUCACAGAAACAAGAAAAGCAGCUUCAGACUUUAGAGUGUUGUUUACAGUUUUCUGACAUCAUGAUCUCCCCUGAAGUUUAUCACUAUUAGGCAAGCAAGCAGAGCAGCAGUUUGUGCUCACAGAUGGUGACGGUGUGGAGAGACGGUGGUGUUUCCUCAGAAGAACUAGCAGAGUCACAAAGGACACGAGUCCUUCUCACCACCUUGACUUGUUGAUCAGUGGAUACACUUGUCUCCCCUUUAAAGGAGACACUCUUAGAGAGAGACGAUCUGAGUCAUCCUUAAAUAUGGACAGGAUAUCACUAUUGGACUGUCUAACCUGCCGGAGCAGCACUGAAUGACCACCACACAUGAUCAGUUCCUGCAACAUUCAGCAGCUCUGCUUUUGCUGGAGAGGAAACUACACCAGUGUACUGGGAUGUUUCACCAACACGUGCCAGACGCUGUUCCUUCAUGGUGACAUCACCAGAGACGGCCCCGCCCACCUCAGGACCUCGCCAUUGAUCAUGAUGAUUAUAAUGAUGACAGCGAGCGGAACUAAGACUGUAAAAAUCAGAAUGUUUAGAUGCUUUCUAAUUAUUAAUGAAUACUGAGAGCCUCUUUCUGUGUUUUGUCUGUUUUGUUUUUUUUUUACCUCAUUUGUUACUAACAAAGUUCACCAAACUCACACAGUUUACAUUCUGUAUGUUUCCAUAUUUACCAGCCACACUCUACCCGCAAUUAAGAAAAUAAUCCUUAGAAAUUGUCGUUUUUCUCUUUUGUAAUUUUGUAAUUCAGUGAAUAUACGGCGCUGCUUCCUUUAAUUGCGUCUCACAUUGCUUUAAGUUUUUCCAGUGUCCAGUUAUUUUUUACUGUUGUUUGAAUUCUCUGUAUGUUUGACCCUGUAGACUGUUUGAUGGACUGCUUGUCUUCCUGUUUGUAACCGCCGCCUGUUUUUGACUAAAGAUUUGGAUUUCUGACUUUAACACAGCCUCUGCGUGUCCUCCCUUUGUGUCCUCUUCCUCUGUGAAUGUGUUGCAUGUGUCACAGAUUCAUUUUAUUAACAGCUUUCCCACAGUCAGUUGCAUCAGCAUUCAUUCACAGCACAUUGCAGAAGGAUUCAGAUUAAUACAGUG